rnacentral:lncRNA from 1 species
UCUGGAAGCUCCCUGAAAGCCUGGCAGGCCACCCUACUUCAGCUGCAUUCGGUCCAUACACUGAGGGUCUCAGUGGGGAAAAAGCAGAGUCAUUUUAAAGAAACAUGGAUCUUAGUUUCUAGAAGGUUUUUCCCCAUCUGGCAGACAAAUUUAUGCCUAUUCCACACACACCAGUUUAAAGUAGAGAUAUCAUGGGGAAAAGUGAGAAGUGACAUGUAUAAUUAUGGUCACAUUGAGGGAGGAAGAGACACCAUCUGGAAUGCAGGCAGAAAGCCAUGUGAAGCUCCCUGUGAGGGAAGGACUGUGGAACUGUCAAUCAUGACCAUGAGCCUUAUGCCUGAACACUCUUUCAGAUCACAAGUAGUUGCCUGUUAAAGUUGGAAUAAUGUGGAGAGAGAGUACUGAAGUGAGUUCAGAAACAGU